GAUGAACGCUGGCGGCGUGCCUAAUACAUGCAAGUCGAGCGAAUGGAUUAAGAGCUUGCUCUUAUGAAGUUAGCGGCGGACGGGUGAGUAACACGUGGGUAACCUGCCCAUAAGACUGGGAUAACUCCGGGAAACCGGGGCUAAUACCGGAUAACAUUUUGCACCGCAUGGUUCGAAAUUGUAAGGCGGCUUCGGCUGGCACUUAUGGAUGGACCCGCGUCGCAUUAACCAGUUGGUGAGGUAACGGCUCACCAAGGCAACGAUGCGUAGCCGACCUGAGAGGGUGAUCGGCCACGCUGGGACUGAGACACGGCCCAGACUCCUACGGGAGGCAGCAGUAGGGAAUCUUCCGCAAUGGACGAAAGUCUGACGGAGCAACGCCGCGUGAGUGAUGAAGGCUUUCGGGUCGUAAAACUCUGUUGUUAGGGAAGAACAAGUGCUAGUUGAAUAAGCUGGCACCUUGACGGUACCUAACCAGAAAGCCACGGCUAACUACGUGCCAGCCGCCGCAGUAA
rnacentral:rRNA from 1 species